AGUGAACGCUGGCGGUAGGCCUAACACAUGCAAGUCGAAUGGCAGCACAGUAAGAGCUUGCUCUUACGGGUGGCGAGUGGCGGACGGGUGAGGAAUACAUCGGAAUCUACUUUUUCGUGGGGGUUAACGUAGGGAAACUUACGCUAAUACCGCAUACGACCUACGGGUGAAAGCAUGGGAUCUUCGGACCUUGCGCGAUUGAAUGAGCCGAUGUCGGAUUAGUUAGUUUGCGGGGUAAAGGCCCACCAAGGCGACGAUCCGUAGCUGGUCUGAGAGGAUGAUCAGCCACACUGGAACUGAGACACGGUCCAGACUCCUACGGGAGGCAGCAGUGGGGAAUAUUGGACAAUGGGCGCAAGCCUGAUCCAGCCAUACCGCAUGGGUGAAGAAGGCCUUCGGGUUGUAAAGCCCUUUUGUUGGGAAAGAAAAGCAGCAGGUUAAUACCCCGCUGUUCUGACGGUACCCAAAGAAUAAGCACCGGCUAACUUCGUG
rnacentral:rRNA from 1 species